rnacentral:rRNA from 1 species
ACGCUCGACACCUACGGGAGGCAGCAGUGGGGAAUAUUGCACAAUGGGGGAAACCCUGAUGCAGCGACGCCGCGUGAAGGAAGAAGUAUCUCGGUAUGUAAACUUCUAUCAGCAGGGAAGAAAAUGACGGUACCUGACUAAGAAGCCCCGGCUAACUACGUGCCAGCAGCCGGGUAAUCUGAGCGGGCUGGCAAGGC